UCUCACGCUGUCCCUCCAGUUGUGUUCAUGGUGGUUAUUUUAUAUCAGCGGCUCGCUUGGAUGUUGCAGCUGGUUGUGUGCUGCUUACUCUCUGCUGCUGGUUGCUGUGUAGCUGAUCACGUUGCCCCAGACCAUGCUGACCGUGAUUGCCUGACCGGUGCUGAGCCUAGGAUGGUGGAUUGUUGUUGUGGUGGCGGUGUCCGUCUUGUCUUUGGCACUUUUUUUUUUUUUCUUUUAGGUUGCUUUUGGUUUCACUUUUAUUUACUUCACGUAUGGUGUUCCUGGGAUCCCCUUUGUUUUGGACCCAUCUCCCCCCUACUAAGUCUCAGCCCUGAUUGGUCCCCCUUUUUGUCCCAGCUAGCACCAGCUUCAAAAAGGUUUAUGAUAGCCGUGACAUUUUUUAAAGACAGACAGACAGACACACACACACACACACACACACACUCUUCAGUUAGGAUUGUCUAAAGCUUAAGUGAAUAAAUGCGAAACUUCUUACCAGAAACUCUUGAUGAGUUUUUGUACAUCUUGAGGCACUUCAGCAGACACUCUCUCCUUACGCUUACAUCAAGGCUUUAGGUAAGUGCAAACAUGAACAAAACAAUGCAAAAUCAUGCUGUCGAACUGUGCAACUUGACUGAAGAUGCAAACACAAAAAUGCAUCAGUGGGAACGUAGACAGUAAUUGUCCAGUAAUCAGACAAAUGGUUUGAGUAAACAGCAAGAUACACAUUGUACUUCUUUCAAAAUGUAAUCUAACUCCACAAUCAAAUGUGAAGACAAUGACACAUUAACACUACUGCUUCUAUUGACAACAUUACUAUUUAUGUGAUGUAAGGUGAAUUUUGCAGUAUUAAGUACAUACCUGAUAAAGAACUUUCAGCACAUCCCAGAUCUCCUCUCUGACAGCUCCUCCCUUGUUCCUGAUGAUCUCAAUCAGCUUGCUGUGGUGCUUGUCCAAGGAGGCCAGGAAUCGUGGUUGAAGUGGAACAGUAGUAAUCCUCACGAAUUCAGCAUUGAUCUUUAGAAAAUAAUAUAUCACAUAUGUAAGUUAUGACAUUGCAUUAAACUCUGUGGUGUAAGA